ACUCCUACGGGAGGCAGCAGUGGGGAAUAUUGCACAAUGGGCGCAAGCCUGAUGCAGCCAUGCCGCGUGUGUGAAGAAGGCCUUCGGGUUGUAAAGCACUUUCAGUUGUGAGGAAGGUGGUGUCGUUAAUAGCGGCAUCAUUUGACGUUAGCAACAGAAGAAGCACCGGCUAACUCCGUGCCAGCAGCCGCGGUAAUACGGAGGGUGCGAGCGUUAAUCGGAAUUACUGGGCGUAAAGCGCAUGCAGGUGGUUUGUUAAGUCAGAUGUGAAAGCCCGGGGCUCAACCUCGGAACUGCAUUUGAAACUGGCAGACUAGAGUACUGUAGAGGGGGGUAGAAUUUCAGGUGUAGCGGUGAAAUGCGUAGAGAUCUGAAGGAAUACCGGUGGCGAAGGCGGCCCCCUGGGACAGAUACUGACACUCAGAUGCGAAAGCUGGGGGAGCAAACAGGAUUAGAUACCCUGGUAGCACAGAG
rnacentral:rRNA from 1 species